rnacentral:rRNA from 1 species
UACGUAGGGGGCUAGCGUUGUCCGGAAUCAUUGGGCGUAAAGCGCGUGUAGGCGGUUCGGUAAGUCCGCUGUGAAAGUCGGGGGGCUCAACCCUCGGAUGCCGGUGGAUACUGUCGAGCUCGAGUACGGAAGAGGCGAGUGGAAUUCCUGGUGUAGCGGUGAAAUGCGCAGAUAUCAGGAGGAACACCAAUUGCGAAGGCAGCUCGCUGGGACGUUACUGACGCUGAGACGCGAAAGCGUGGGGAGCAAACAGG